GAUUCCCCCAGUAACUGCGAGUGAAAAGGGAAGAGCCCAGCGCCGAAGCCGCCGUCCGGCAACACGGGCGGAGGGCAAUGUGGCGUUAAGGAAGAGCCUCCUUGACCAGACGUUUCGUUGAUCGAUCCGCGGAAGCCCGAGUCCCCCUGACCGGGGCCACGGCCCAUGGCGGGUGCAAGGCCUCUUCGGCUUCGUUCGACGGUUCGGAGGUUGCUGGCUUCCUUCCUCAGAGUCGGGUUGCUUGAAAGUGCAGCUCUAAGCGGGUGGUAAACUCCACCUAAGGCUAAAUAUGACCAUGAGACCGAUAGCGAACAAGUACCGUGAGGGAAAGUUGCAAAGAACUUUGAAGAGAGAGUUCAAGAGUACGUGAAACCGCUCGGAGGCAAACGGGUGGGCCCUCGAAGGUCGAACGGGGGGAUUCAGCCUGUCGGCGUCACCGUCGCUCUCGCUGUUCCAGUCGAAAAAGCGGAGGCUCGUCCUCCGCGAAACGGAUCCCCGUCUGUGGGACCGGGCUGGCCGAGAAAGCGCGGGCCGGCUCGUGCACUUCCCCCUCAGUAGGACGCCGCGACCGGUCGGGUAGAAAUCAAGAGUUGCGGCCAUGAGGCGAGAUAAAUUGGGCAGGUGUCCGUUUCCGUGAGUAGCCCCUUCGUAGCCGGUCCGCGUGCGUUCGCGCUCGCGGAUGGUCGGACGGAGGGGCCGCGGUCGGAGUUACAGCCUAUUCUCGACCCGUGCACCGCCACCCGACCGACAAAUGGUCACGAAUCCGUUGACGCGUGCCCGCGUUUUUUCCUUUCCUCUCGGGGUUUGGAAAAAGGCGCUCGCCCUCGUCCCGGGCAGGCAGGAUGCGCGAGUAAAAAGUUCCUCUUUUCCCGGCAACGGGAAGGGAAUCCGACGGACGCCGGUACAAAAAACCACAAAGGCGGCCGUCGGCUCCGCGUCUGCCGCUGGCCCACGGGGAAUUGCGUUCUGGCGUGGAGGCAUCGCUCGCGGUCGGCGGCGAGUAGUCNNNNNNNNNNNNNNNNNNNNNNNNNNNNNNNNNNNNNNNNNNNNNNNNNNNNNNNNNNNNNNNNNNNNNNNNNNNNNNNNAGCUAAACCCGAAGGCGAAAUGAAAGUGAAGGCCGGCCUCCUUUUUUCUUUUCCUUUCCUCGGAUCGGAUUUGAUGGGGGGGCACGAACGGCCGAGGCGAGAUCCUCGAAGGAAGUGGGGAGGUAACACUCUCUAACCCUUCGUAAAAAACCGGGUGGCGAAGCCGUGCGGCGCGCCGUCAAAAAGCGCGUUGCAGCCCGGAGGCGCAUCGCCGGCCCGUCUCGACCGCUGCUCCGUGUUUGCGCAAGGUUGGGUGUCUGGGCUUGCGGGGGGAGAGGAGAGGUUUGGGGCGCGAAAUCCGGCAACGGACGUAGCGUUUCCUUAUCCUUUUUCUCUCGUAACCUGCUUGCCGGCCCUCCUUCCCGCGGAGAAACCAGUCGGUGAGGCGGAGCAAGAGCGCACACGUUGGGACCCGAAAGAUGGUGAACUAUGCCCGGGCAGGACGAAGCCAGAGGAAACUCUGGUGGAGGUCCGCAGCGAUUCUGACGUGCAAAUCGAUCGUCGGACCUGGGUAUAGGGGCGAAAGACUAAUCGAACCGUCUAGUAGCUGGUUCCCUCCGAAGUUUCCCUCAGGAUAGCUGGCGCUCGGGAAAACCUUCUGUUGAGAGAGAAACAGUCUCAUCCGGUAAAGCGAAUGAUUAGAGGCAUUGGGGCCGAAACGGCCUCAACCUAUUCUCAAACUUUCAAUGGGUGAGAUGUCCGGCUUGCUCGAAAACACGAAUGGUGUCCGACUCUUUCGGGGGUUGGGCAUCGUUUUUGAAGCACGGACAUAGGAUGCGAGUGCCCAGUGGGCCACUUUUGGUAAGCAGAACUGGCGCUGUGGGAUGAACCAAAAGCCGGGUUACGGCGCCCGAUGCGGACGCUCAUCAGACCCCAUGAAAGGUGUUGGUUGCUAUUGACAGCAGGACGGUGGCCAUGGAAGUCGGAAUCCGCUAAGGAGUGUGUAACAACUCACCUGCCGAAGCAACUAGCCCUGAAAAUGGAUGGCGCUCCAGCGUCGAGCCUAACCCCGGCCGCCGGAAGGCAGAAAACCGAUCGCCAACGCGGGACUCGUUCCGUCGUUUGGUCGAGAAAGUCGAUGCCCCGGCGAGUAGGAGGGUCGCGGUGGCGAGCGUUGAAGGGAACGGGCGCGAGCCUGCCUGGAGCCGCCACCGGUGCAGAUCUUGGUGGUAGUAGCAAAUACUCGAGUGAGAACCUUGAGGACUGAAGUGGAGAAGGGUUCCAUGUGAACAGCAGUUGAACAUGGGUCAGUCGGCCCUAAGGAAUAGGGGAAACCCGUUCCGAACGGAACCGGAAUACAUGAUCGAUAAAGAUAAUCAGUCAAUGACCGGUGACGACCGAAAGGGAAUCGGGUUAAUAUUCCCGAACCCGGAUGCGGAGAUCGACCCUCGCGGGUCUGAAGCGGUAACGCGUAACGAACUCGGAGAUUGCCGGCGGGGGCCCCGGGAAGAGUUUUCUUUUCUUUGUAAAGGACGGACUCCCUGGAAUCGGCUCGCCCGGAGAGAGGGAUGUUGUUCCUGUAAAGCACCGCGGCUCUUGCGGUGUCCGGAGCGCUCUCGCCGGCCCUUGAAAAUCCGAGGGAGUGAACCAAAGAUUUCCGCACCGGACCGUACCCAUAUCCGCAGCA
rnacentral:rRNA from 1 species